UACGUAGGGGGCAAGCGUUGUCCGGAAUCAUUGGGCGUAAAGAGCUCGUAGGCGGUUUGUCGCGUCUGCUGUGAAAACUGGAGGCUCAACCUCCAGCCUGCAGUGGGUACGGGCAGACUAGAGUGCGGUAGGGGAGAUUGGAAUUCCUGGUGUAGCGGUGGAAUGCGCAGAUAUCAGGAGGAACACCGAUGGCGAAGGCAGAUCUCUGGGCCGUAACUGACGCUGAGGAGCGAAAGCAUGGGGAGCGAACAGG
rnacentral:rRNA from 1 species